rnacentral:rRNA from 1 species
GACGAACGCUGGCGGCGUGCCUAAUACAUGCAAGUCGAGCGAGACUCUUCGGAGUCUAGCGGCGGACGGGUGAGUAACACGUGGGCAACCUGCCUGUAAGACUGGGAUAACACCGGGAAACCGGUGCUAAUACCGGAUAAUCCUUUUUCUCUCAUGAGGAAAAGCUGAAAGUCGGUUUCGGCUGACACUUACAGAUGGGCCCGCGGCGCAUUAGCUAGUUGGUGAGGUAACGGCUCACCAAGGCGACGAUGCGUAGCCGACCUGAGAGGGUGAUCGGCCACACUGGGACUGAGACACGGCCCGGACUCCUACGGGAGGCAGCAGUAGGGAAUCUUCCACAAUGGACGAAAGUCCGAUGGAGCAACGCCGCGUGAGCGAUGAAGGCCUUCGGGUCGUAAAGCUCUGUUGUUAGGGAAGAACAAGUACCGGAGUAACUGCCGGUACCUUGACGGUACCUAACCAGAAAGCCACGGCUAACUACGUGCCAGCCGCCGCCGUAA